rnacentral:rRNA from 1 species
UACAGGGGGGGCAAGCGUUGUUCGGAAUUACUGGGCGUAAAGGGCUCGUAGGCGGCCAACUAAGUCACACGUGAAAUCCCCAGGCUUAACCUGGGAACUGCGUGUGAUACUGGAUGGCUUGAAUCCGGGAGAGGGAUGCAGAAUUCCAGGUGUAGCGGUGAAAUGCGUAGAUAUCUGGAGGAAUACCGGUGGCGAAGGCGGCAUCCUGGACCGGCAUUGACGCUGAGGAGCGAAAGCUAGGGGAGCAAACAGG